UACUAGAUACAUCUUCGAUAAUUAUACAGGCUAAGAAACUCAAAUAUCAUCUUUUUCACUAGCUUUUUUGGGUGACGCUCUUUAUUAUUGCACGUACAUCAUUGAUGUAAUAAAUAAGAGGAUUGUAGCUAAGCACAAAUAUUGGAUGGUUGGACUCUUUUGAUCCAAGCAAGGCUAGGGUAAUGAGGGCAUGUUUGGUUUUGGGAAGUUAGACUUUGAAGCGAG
rnacentral:lncRNA from 1 species